UACGAAGGGGGCUAGCGUUGCUCGGAAUCACUGGGCGUAAAGGGUGCGUAGGCGGGUUUUUAAGUCAGGGGUGAAAUCCUGGAGCUCAACUCCAGAACUGCCUUCGAUACUGACGAUCUCGAGUCCGGGAGAGGUGAGUGGAACUCCGAGUGUAGAGGUGAAAUUCGUAGAUAUUCGGAAGAACACCAGUGGCGAAGGCGGCUCACUGGCCCGGUACUGACGCUGAGGUGCGAAAGCGUGGGGAGCAAACAGG
rnacentral:rRNA from 1 species